rnacentral:rRNA from 1 species
AUGCCGCCCGGCCUCCCUCGCCGGCGCCCCCACCUAGUGCGGCCUCAUGUGCCCCCACAUCACACCCAGCGCCGCUUUCCCAUGUCGUGUUUCCUGAUUGGAGAGGUCAAGGUGGAUUGUAGCGGCGGUGCGGUCGAUUGUGGCGGCUAUGCGGUGAAGGAGAGGGGAGAUCCAAAUGCGGUCCAUGUAAGGAAGCAGAGGAGGAACGCGCAUUCUUCAACCUCUGUUGUCAUCUUCAAGAUGCCACGCCGGCGGCCGGCCGAAGCAUCUGCUUUGUUCGUGUGUCCUUCCUCCAGGCGGCCAAAGAGGUUCUUCUUCCCCUUCCCGGAUCUGUCUCCGUCGCAGAAGCUCUUCCCACGGAGGCGAUACCAGGAGGAGAGGAGCCGUUCUGGAUAUGAGGAGGACGCACGUGUCGGCCGUGCCAUUGGGCGGAGACCACUCCUGCAGCUUGUCGUCGCAGAAGAGCACGUCCACGAGAUUGUCAAUGAACCCAUCCACAAAGGAGUUGCAGCGAGUGCCAGCAUCUGGCUUAUCGUGCCAUGUGCUGGAGACCCAUGGCCUCUCCCCGCAGCUGCUUCUGCAGGCUGCCGCUGGCACUGUACGAGUAAGACCAGAGCAUGGAGAGACACGUGGCGGCAUGGGGUUGUAGCACGACCUUGUCACGCCUCGGCUACUUCUGAUGCCGCUGAUCGCUCUCGCCGCGGCCACCACAGUUGA